rnacentral:rRNA from 1 species
UACGUAGGGUGCAAGCGUUAUUCGGAAUUACUGGGCGUAAAGCGUGCGCAGGCGGUUCGCUAAGACAGAUGUGAAAUCCCCGGGCUUAACCUGGGAACUGCAUUUGUGACUGGCGGGCUAGAGUAUGGCAGAGGGGGGUAGAAUUCCACGUGUAGCAGUGAAAUGCGUAGAGAUGUGGAGGAAUACCGAUGGCGAAGGCAGCCCCCUGCGCCAAUACUGACGCUCAUGCACGAAAGCGUGGGGAGCAAACAGG